rnacentral:rRNA from 1 species
UACGGAGGGUGCAAGCGUUGUCCGGAAUCAUUGGGCGUAAAGAGCGCGCAGGCGGCUUGGUAAGUCGGAUGUGAAAUCCCGAGGCUCAACCUCGGGUCUGCAUCCGAUACUGCCCGGCUAGAGGUAGGUAGGGGAGAUCGGAAUUCCAGGUGUAGCGGUGAAAUGCGCAGAUAUCAGGAGGAACACCAAUGGCGAAGGCAGCUCACUGGGACGGUAUUGACGCUGAGACGCGAAAGCGUGGGGAGCAAACAGG